UUAAAUUGAAGAGUUUGAUCAUGGCUCAGAUUGAACGCUGGCGGCAGGCCUAACACAUGCAAGUCGAACGGUAACAGGAAUCAGCUUGCUGAUUCGCUGACGAGUGGCGGACGGGUGAGUAAUGUCUGGGAAACUGCCUGAUGGAGGGGGAUAACUACUGGAAACGGUAGCUAAUACCGCAUAACGUCGCAAGACCAAAGAGG
rnacentral:rRNA from 1 species